GGGCCUAUAUGUAUCCCUAAUGCUUAAACGAUGUUUACUAUCAAAAUUAAAUUCAACAAAAAUAAAUUAAUUAAAAAAUUCUCCCCUUUUUUCCAGAGUCAAGUCUCCAUUGGCACUAGAGUGGCCUCCUCCUACAGUGAUGUCAUCCUUGAGUUGUGCCUCCAUGAUGAGGGUACAAUCCAGUGCUCCUCAUGUAGGAGUAUGCGUGGAAUCAUUGAAUACAAUUAUUUACUAUGGCAG